GGGGGGCUUCAGUAAAGCCCUGACAGCGCCUGACUUCACACACAUCCGCGGUCCUGAAGCCAAACCAACGGCUGUGUCUGAGCAGCACUGCCCACACCAUACCGUGAUGUAAGAAAUAUGUGGAAGGACAGGAAGAACAGGAAGGAGAGAUGGCCGGACUGACGCACGGUUGGAUGGCUGGACUAAUGGAUCGAUAAUUUAAAAGGACAGAAAGACGGACAGAAGGACACGCGGAUGGACAGAAAAACGAAGGAAUGGAGAGGUGGACAGGGACACAAAUGGACAGAUGUAUGGACAAACAGAUGGAUACAGAGAAUACAACUUUUAGAGAAUGGGAUAAAACUAAUACUUGAUUUCCUUUCCCAUACUUGUCUGGAAAGUACUUAAAAUACAUUAUUUUCAUGUGUAGGAACCCCGUCUUAUGAUCGCUCUGUUGUCUUUUACUUUACAUUUCAUCUUAUUUUAAAUAAUAGUAAAUUGCAUGUCUUUGUAUCCCACUUUAUCAAGUCAUAUGACCUUGAAGCUCUUCACACUGCAUUCAACUGCUCACACAUUCACACCCUGAUGGUGGUGAGCUACAUUAAAGCCACAGCUGCCCUGGGGCAGACUGACAGAAGAGCAGCUGCCAUACAAUGGGCACCAGCAGGCCCUCUGACCACCGGGUCGCUGGUUCCAACCAGCAAACCGAUGGUUACAGGACAAACUCCUAGCCCUCUCCAAUUGUUUCUACUUUAUUUAAAAUCUGGGCCAAGGAAUCAUGGCCAAAUGUUCCUUUUCCAAAUUGUGUAAACUCUGUAGCAUCCGAUACAAACUACUGAAUUUUAGGGCCAGAUUUUCACCUACAGUUUAAAGUUGUCAGUAAAAUGUCAGGUAAAAAGUAUUUUUUAUUUAAUUAACCAUGUUUUUUUUUUUUCAUUUUGUCAUUUUGUUUCCACGGAAGAUAAGCAUCAAACAAGCCCAGCAAUUUUAUUUUUCCCACAAAAAAAAA